rnacentral:rRNA from 1 species
UACGUAGGGGGCUAGCGUUGUCCGGAAUCAUUGGGCGUAAAGCGCGUGUAGGCGGCCCGGUAAGUCCGCUGUGAAAGUCGGGGGCUCAACCCUCGAAUGCCGGUGGAUACUGUCGGGCUUGAGUACGGGAGAGGCGAGUGGAAUUCCUGGUGUAGCGGUGAAAUGCGCAGAUAUCAGGAGGAACACCGAUUGCGAAGGCAGCUCGCUGGAACGUUACUGACGCUGAGACGCGAAAGCGUGGGGAGCAAACAGG